AUUGAACGCUGGCGGAAUGCUUUACACAUGCAAGUCGAACGGCAGCAUAGGUGCUUGCACCUGAUGGCGAGUGGCGAACGGGUGAGUAAUAUAUCGGAACGUGCCCAGUCGUGGGGGAUAACGUAGCGAAAGCUACGCUAAUACCGCAUACGAUCUACGGAUGAAAGCGGGGGACCUUCGGGCCUCGCGCGAUUGGAGCGGCCGAUAUCAGAUUAGGUAGUGGGUGGGGUAAAGGCUCACCAAGCCAACGAUCUGUAGCUGGUCUGAGAGGACGACCAGCCACACUGGGACUGAGACACGGCCCAGACUCCUACGGGAGGCAGCAGUGGGGAAUUUUGGACAAUGGACGCAAGUCUGAUCCAGCCAUUCCGCGUGCAGGACGAAGGCCUUCGGGUUGUAAACUGCUUUUGUACAGAACGAAAAGGUUUCUACUAAUACUAGGGGCUCAUGACGGUACUGUAAGAAUAAGCACCGGCUAACUACGUGCCAGCAGCCGCAGUAA
rnacentral:rRNA from 1 species